GCGGCCGGAGGGGGCUGCGGCGAGGCCGAGCCGCCGAGCCGCCCCUGUCGCCGGGCCCUGCCUGUAAGACGUCGGGGCCCGCCGCCCGGCUCUCGUGUGCGCGCCGCAGUCGGCGCCCCAUCGCCGGCUCUGACAUGGAGGAGGGGGGAGCUGGUCCGGGGAGCCCCCUCCCGCCCGCCAUGAAGGCAGAGACCGCGACCGCGGCGCAGGAGCCCCCGGCCGGGCCCAGCCUCAGUCACCUACUGAGUAGCCGGAAGCUGGUGGCCCUGGGGGCCGUGCUCGGCUGGCUCCUGGUCAUCCACCUCCUGGUCAACGUGUGGCUCCUGUGCCUUCUGUCUGCGCUGCUACUGGUGCUGGGAGGAUGGCUGGGCUCCGACACCAUCGUGGGGCCUUCGGGUCGGCUGCACCUGGAGCGCUUCAUCCCCAUGGCCGUCUGCCCCCCACACCCCGAGGCCGAGAGGCAGCUGGAGCAGGAGAUCGACCGCACCAUCCGGAUGGUCAUGCGGGACUUCGUGUCGUCCUGGUAUCGCACGGUGAGCCAGGAGCCCGCCUUUGAGGAGGAAAUGGAGGCAGCCAUGCGAGGGUUGGUCCAGGAGCUCCGGAGGAGGAUGGCCAGGGUGGACAGCCAUGCUCUUGCCCAGAGGGUUCUGACUCUCUGUGGUUGUCACCUGCAGAGCUAUCUUCAGGCAAAGGAGGCCACGGCAGGGAAGCAGAGUGGCACAGAUGAGCCCUCCCAGCUCUGGGAGGCUUACUGCCAGGCCACCGCCCCACAUCCUGCAGUACAAAGUCCCAGGGCCGAGGUCGCCUACACACGUGGCAUCGUGAACGUGUUGCUUCAAGGCCUAGUGCCAAAGCCCCACUUGGAGACCCGGACUGGCCGCCAUGUGGUGGUGGAACUCGUUACUUGCAAUGUCAUCUUACCACUGAUCAGCAAGCUCUCAGACCCGGACUGGAUCCACCUUGUGCUGGUGGGCAUCUUCUCCAAGGCCAGAAGCGGCCCAGCGGGAGUGGGUAAACCACUCUGUCCAGCCAGUGCCCGGGAACAGCCCCCAGUGCCCACAUCUCUGCCACUGAUUGUGGAGGUCCAGAGUCUAGCAGAUGCGAGAGCCCCUUCUCCAGCCCCAGUGCUCAUAAACUGUAGUGAGCCUUCACACCCCUCCCCAGAAGUUGAAGAAGGCCAUGAAGCACUGGAGGGAGAUUUGGGGGGAGUGCUAGAAGAGAGAGAAGUAGGAAACAACUCUUCUCACUUCCUGCAGCCUCUGUUCUUGUCCGAAGACGCGGAGCUGGAGUCUCCGUUGUCUGAACUGGGCAAAGAAACCAUCAUGCUCAUGAACCCAGGCAACUUCCUCUCUGCCAGGAUUCAGAACUCCCUGUGUGCCCUAGGGGGUUCCCAGUCUCUGGACUCUAAGGGUGAUGAGGGGUCCAAAGGAAUUGAAGGAGCAGAAGCUGAGGAGGGUCCAGGAACAGAAACAGAGACCGGCCUGCUUGUCUCCAUGCUGAAUUCCUGCCCAGAGAUCCAGAUUGACACAGCAGACAAGGAAGUAGAACAGGGAGAUGUCACCUCUCUUACAGCUUUGCUGGCCAGUCCGGAAAGGAUGUGUCCCCCACGACCCUCGUGCUUAGAGAAAGAUCUGACCAAUGGUGUGAGCUCCCUAGAUCCUAGUCUCCCACAAGUCCUGCUCUCCUCCUCUCCACCUGAUCCCCUCAGCGCAGCCACGUUCAGCUUUGAGCCCCUGAGCAGUCCAGAUGGCCCCGUUAUCAUCCAGAACCUUCGUAUUACCGGCACCAUUACUGCUCGAGAGCACAGCAGCACCGGAUUCCACCCAUACACGCUCUACACGGUGAAGUAUGAGACGGCCCUUGACGGCGAGAACAGCAGUGGCCUGCAGCAGCAGGCCUACCACACUGUGAACCGCCGUUACCGUGAGUUCCUGAAUCUGCAGACCCGUCUGGAGGAGAAAUCCGAUCUACGAAAGUUCAUCAAAAAUGUGAAGGGUCCUAAGAAACUCUUUCCAGAUCUUCCAUUUGGAAACAUGGAUAGUGACAGAGUGGAAGCCCGCAAGAGCCUCUUGGAAUCAUUCCUGAAGCAACUCUGUGCCAUUCCUGAGAUCGCUAACAGUGAGGAGAUGCAGGAGUUCCUUGCUCUGAACACAGAUGCUCGUAUUGCCUUUGUCAAGAAACCUUUCAUGGUCUCCAGAAUAGACAAGCCACGUACUGUACGCGUUGCUGAUGAUACAGGAGUGAACAAGACAGAUAUGGAUCCUCACCACAGACUACCAUCCUAUGAGCCAAGAGAGCGAGUUGUUGUGGUGGUGAGCGCUAUCGUGGACACCUUGAAGACAGCAUUUCCUCGCUCUGAGCCCCAGAGCCCCACAGAGGAGCUGAGUGAGGCCGAGACAGAAAGCAAGCCCCAGCCAGAAGGCAAGAAGGCUACCAAGUCCAGACUGAGGUUCUCAUCCAGUAAAAUUGCUCCAGCACUGAAUAUAACUGAGGCACACGAGAAGAUUCUCUAUUGUCUCCGGGAAGGCAGUGUGGAGUCAGAGAUCCUCUCCAUGUCUGGGAUGGAAUCCUUUAUUGAAAAGCAGACAAAGUUACUAGAAACGCAGCCAGCAGAGGCCCCAGGAAAAGAUUCUGAACAAAUCUCCAAGGAAUGUGUGGAUGACUGCGUGUCAGGUGCAGCCGUGCCAGGCCAAGACCUCAGCAGCAGUGAUCCAGGAACAGAGACAGAGUUGGCUGACACAGCCCUGGAUCUGCUUCUCUUGCUACUGAUGGAACAGUGGAGAUGGCUAUGUACGGAGAACGUGCAGAAAGUUAUUCACCUCAUCUUUGGGACCCUGAUUCAGAGGUGGCUAGAGGUGCAGGUAGCUACUCUGACGUGUCCUCAGCGCUGGGUGCAGUGCCUCCGGCUUCUUCAGGAAUCCAUCUGGCCUGGCGGGCUUUUGCCCGAGAACCCUCGACCCGUAAGGACCCAGGAGCAGAAGGCGGCUGCUGAGAAACAGGCUUUGCAGAGCCUGAUGGGAGUCCUGCCAGAUAUCGUCGUAGGAAUCCUUGGGGUGAACAAAUGCCGGUUAAGCUGGAGUCUUGUCUUGGAGUCACUGCAGCAGCCCCUCAUCAACAGGCAUUUGAUUUACUGCCUUUGGGACAUCAUCCUGGAAUUCUUGGAUCUCAGUGCCUCUGCUGAGGAGUCCGCCAUAACCAGCUCUGCCACAGACACCCCAGGCAGCCCCAAGAAGAUGGGCAUCUCCCCUUAGCCAGAGGCUUGGAAUCCUCAACGCCAUCUGGCAAUUUUCUCUCCAUCUUCCUACCCACGAUGGAGCCACACCCCUCAAACCCCCCCUAAAAGCCAGAUGACAGCAGGAACCUUCCACUGAGCAGAGGUGAAGCCUUAGACGUCUGUCAGCACCCCCGCUGUAAAGAUCUGCCAGCUUCUCAGAUCAGUAUGGGAGGAGGCUGUCUGAGUGGGUUUCAUAGCUGCAGCAGUAACACCGGGCCCCGCCUCCCAUGCCUCUCAGGCUGACCAUCUCAUCGGUGGUGCCGACGUCGCCAGAAGCAGGCCCCAGACAGGCGGCCCUGAGCCAGGACCCAUCUCAGAAGCCCAUGCCCAGCUGGAGCCUCCUGGUUGCUGGGGUGAAAGGACCUCUCUGUCACCAUAGGAGGAAUCUGAUGAAUCCUGGACUAAAAAGGGGUGUUGUUUUCCCCCAAUGACAGACGUACUCUCCAGUCCCCAACCCAGCCCCUGGUGAGAGGUGUUUUUGUUUGUCUUUUUUACCUUUUUAUUACAUUUUGUCUUGUUUACAAUGCUGAGCUGAAGUAGGAGGGAGCAGUAACACCAGAGGAUGUGAAUUAUCUUGCAGUCAGUGGGGGAGAUUCGGCCACCAGCACGUGAUAAGGGAAGAGGAUGGGCUGGAUGUUGGAUGAAACCCUGUCCAGCUCUGUCACAUCAGUUAGAGAGCAAAGACGGUGCCUUCCAGUUCCUGGCCAGUUUCUGGAACAGUGAUGAUGCUCUCUGAAUGUUUGUCAUCCAAACGAAUGAAUGAUUAUAUUUCAUCUUGACUCUCAUCUCAGGAGAGAUUUUCUUCCACUUCAUUUGGGUCUCAGUUUGAGGAAAGAAGGAAGGAACGAACGAAGCAUGAUGAAAGUAGGGAGGAAAGAAUGUAGCCUUGACUCUGAGAGCACUGUCUUGACUUUCUCUGGGCUCCUAGAAUGAAAGUCCCUAUCCUCCAUUUUCCCUCUUUAAGCCUGCCAAAAUCACAUGGAUUAAGGCUACCAUACAGCUUUGAGGAAUGAGCCGCACCCCCAGACUUCCAUGGAGUCCAAGGACCUAUUCAUCCCCAAUUAGUCUGUCUCGGGUUGAUAAUCAAAGUGCACACUUUUGGUUUUCAUUCUUCUAGAGUCUUUUCCAUCAGCUCUCCUUCCAUUUUAUCUUUUCAUCAUUCCUCUGAGGAAUGUAAUACUUUACACAUGUAUAGGACUUUCUAAAUUAUGAAGUAUUUCAUAUCCAAUAUUUUAUUUAGAUCUUGACAAUCACUUUUUAAGGUAAUUUGGGGGAGUUAUUAGUGUCUUCAUUUUACUGAAAAGGAAACUUUUGCCCAAGAUCAGUCACCCAUUUUUUCAAGAGGCAGCAGCACCCGGAUUAAGAAAUAGUUCUGCCGACAGACAACCAGGUGUGAAUCCCAGCGCUACCGCGGAUUAGCUCUGAGUCCUUCGGUAGGUGAUUUAAAAUCUCCGUGCCUUAGUUUUUUCAUGCAUUAGAUGGGAAUAACAUGGAACUCUCCUCAAAGAGAACAGGCGGGAGAAGGGGUUAUAUUUAGGAUCCUUAGAACAAGCUCCAGCACACAGUGCGUAAUAAAUGUUUGUCGUUUUCAUUGCUGAAGCCAAGACUGGAACCCGAGUCCCCCAACUUCCAGCUCAGGGAUAUUUCCACUGCCCCCACUGGUGUCAUCCUCAGCGUGCAGACCAGAACCUAAGGCCAUCCACGUUUCAGUGAAAAGCUCAUCCAAGUCUCCGUUUACUGGGUCCAGAGCUAACAUCUCCUGGAACUCCAUUAAACAAAGCUGCUUCCCGUUGCUCUGGGCAGGGUGUCAACCCUCUAUAAAGUUUCAGAAGUUUAUAAACCAAGCUCUCUCAUCCAGUAUUACUGACAGCCUGAAGGUAGACACUCCAACUGUCCUGGGGAAAGGCCUUCUUCCUUCAGUCUUCAGAGACAAGGCUCAGGGUGACUUGUUGCUAUGGUGAUUCUCCUUCCUACCUCCCAGCGUUCGCUCAGGCCACGUGUCCACUGGAAAAGUCUCUCUUCUCUUCCUUCCUCUUGCCUUUCAUCAGUGCCAGACUAGUUGAUUCUGGACCACUGGUUUCUGACUCUCUGAGUACAAGUCUUGUCUUUUGCACUUUUAUUAUGUACUUCUUGUGAGUACGGACUAUGUUGUUUGUGGCUUUGUACUCUCCGUUGCACGUAGCAGAUGUUCAGGACUCAGCAGGGACAUCAACAGUGCUUAAUUCAUGAAUGGACUGACCGUCUGAGGGACUGGUGGUGGGCUCUCCGAGUAGGUGACAAUCAUCCUUACCCCUUGGUUGCAAGUUCAGGUGGUCAGAGAACUUGCCCAGAUAGCGCUCAACACCACAGUGCUUGGAAAGGGGAGAAGUUUCAGGAGUUGUCCUGGGGGAGGGACGAGAGUUCUCUGUAUGCUCACACCAGACCGGCGGCCACUGAGCCUCAGAACCCGGUCUGUGCCGCCGUCUGAGAGCAAGGCGUGUGCACGGAAAACGCAGAUGGAACCACAGCCCGCGGAGCGCCCCAAGCCAGACGUGACCUUGUUCUUCAGUCAACAACGAGUGAGAGUCAUCUGCCCCAGGGUCACCUGGCACCAAAGUCCCACAACAGAAGGGGCUCCACUUAAAGGGCAGCACAAAUCCAGGGCAUUAAAAUAACCUGAAUG